UGUCACGUGGGCAUAUAGCCAGGUUGCCUUGAAGUUUGUUUUUUUUUUCUUAAGGAGGGGAUCCUACCACGUUCCCCCCUUUAAUGCUCGGACCCCUCUAUUUAGGGUCCAAGAGCAUGAUCUUGGUUUAGAGGUUUAUAUUUUUAUAACAUCAUUACACGAGUGGCCCUCUUUUUUUAAAUUAUGGCUCAGUGAGACUGGAGGCUGACCGUACCACCAGUGGACCAAAGGAGGGUGAGAUUAAGCACCCUCCUAAAUGAGGAGGAGCAUUGACUUCCAUGAGGGUUUUGGAUCCCCAGAGAGUUGAAAAACAUCCUCCAGAUAACUUGGCGGGGUUCCAACCGGUCCAGGUCCGGACGGGGACGUGAGCAACCUUUUUUCUUUGAUCUGUGAUCUCCUCUAGGACUCUCCCGUCAUCAUCUCUCUGUGGGCAACAGGUGCUCAGGUUAAGGUUUCCACAAACACCUCUCUCAGAAGCAAUCAGGUAAUCUAAGGCCAAGUAAUCUCGAUAGAUGGCGUUGAACAUUUGGGUUUGCUGCUUGGCUGGUAAGUUAAGGCUUCUGGCAGUUUCAUUGGUUAUAAUUUCUAUUAACUGCUUGCAGUCUGAGUAUGCAGUUUAGCACGUAAAUGGGGUGCGGCCAUCCUCUGCCGAGGUGGCAGGCCCAUAAUACUGGAUUAUAUGCUCGGGAGGCCAUCUAUUAUCGUUUUAACUGUUAAUUUUUAAGGCACGCUGCUUUCUUUGAGUCUCCCCGUGCCCAUACAUUUGGACUCCCAAAUGUUUCCCUCUGGCAAGUGGGAGCAGGAAGAAAGAUGGACGAAGAGUUCCCAACACAUAUGACCCUGACCAGACUGAGGAAAGUACCGCAUAGGCUGUCCUUUCAUAUACCGAGCAUAGUUCACCUGGGACCCACCAUUUGAUGGCUGCAUUGACAUUGUCUCAGGCCUCUCGGAGAUGAUAGAAGUCAGAAGAGGAGUGGGGAUCUGGUUCAAGGUGAUCUGGGGGUCCCCCACCAUUGGGUUUUCUGGGCAGUCGAGUUAUAAAAUCUUUGGCCUAGGCAUGUUAAAGUUUUUAACAAAGGCGACGAUGAACUUUUUCCCCACAAGGCAAGACGGUUUUUCCCAAUAAUUGAGUUUUUGAGAAGCCAAACCCCGGUAGUAGAACUGGGGUAUUUUGCUUUAGUAUAAGGUUUGUGGGAAUCUAAUUUUCUAGUCUCUUAUCGCCACUGUUUCCCCGUGUUGGUACCAACGAAGCAUCCUGUCCACAAAAGGAGGGUGAGUGUUAACAGCCAAGGCGGCCUCAGCCAAUCCUAUGACAAAGAGUAGAGCAAGAAUCACAAUAAUAGUGGGCAACAAGGCGUGACAGUGCCUCACAGCAAGGAAGCCUAUAAAAAUACGGACCGUCUUUUGUUUCAUUGGACCGUCGGUUGGUUCCUCAAGCUUCUGCCGUGCGUAGAUCAGUCAGCUUCCGGAGGGACUGAAGCAGGACUGUGGUCUCCCGGGGCCUCUGGAGUUGCAGAACCUUCCGUGUGGUCAGCUUGCACGGCGUGGAUGGAUCAGGAAGGCACUCCCAGUUUCGAGAUGCCGGCUUCACUCUGCCGUAGUGAACCCAGGGACCCGCUUCGGCUACUUUCCUGUGUAGGGGUGGACAAAAUGACAGUGAACGGUCCUCUCCAGAGGGGUUUAAGGGGUUGGACACUCCACUCCUUCACCCAUACAGCAUCUCCUGGUUUAAAGGGGUGAGUGUCUGUGGUCAGACUCACAGGUAAUCGCUCCCUGACCCAGCGGUGUAAGGUGGUUAGGGUAGAGGCAAGGGCUCACAUCUGUUGUCUUAGGGUUAGAUUGCCUGUCUCAUUUAGGUCCCCCCCCCCUUAUGCCCUUGAUAAUGGGGGGAGGGUGCCCAUAAAGGAUCUCAUAAGGGGAGAACCCGUCUGCUCCUUUAGCCUCCCGCCUGCAGCUGCCGUCUGCCUCCCUGAAGGCCCCUUCUCUCUCCCUGCCUAAUGUUCACCCUUUCCCUAUUCAUUGCUCCCCUGGAACAGGGCCUGUGUCUGCUGUGAGGGAACAGGGACGAUGACUGUCCUGGCUUCUUCAAGCUGAUAAGGGACGGUGUAAGGGUACAGCAGUUAGAGUCUACCCAAGGGUCGGUCGAGUGGUCCCCCGUGUGGUUUCACAGGAAGGCUGGCGGGCAUGAGGCGGCAUCACCAUCAGCAGACACAAAGGGAAAAACGCAAAGUGAAGAUUAUACGGACCAACAAGAUGGCAUCUUAAGAUAAUGUCUACAGUUUGCAAACCUGUCAGACAACCUAGGAGAGACCCUGACUUCGCAAACAACGUAGGUCAAGGACUCUCUCGUUAACCCAGGUGAUGGAGAAGCAGGCGAGCAGACCGCUUCGUUUUUCUUUGAACACUAUGGAAGGGAUAUCAGUAAGAAGAAAGUUCUUGCACCAGGAAGACCAAGAACUUUCUACCUUGGGAUGAAAUGCCACCUGCAGGCUCCUGCUCAGAACACAGUGCAGCUAGGAGAAGGCCAAACCACGACAAGACCACGUGCAGGUGCCCAGGGCCACACUGAGACCAGGACCAGACCCUGAGCGAUGGGGCCAGCUAGGAAGUGGGUCUUCCUGCCUCACAGAAGGUGGGCUUUCCAGAUGGUAAUGCCCAGGAUCUGUGAGUGGGCAGCAGGGUGUGGGGGAGGAGGCAGUGGCUGCUUUUUAUGCCAUCAAGUUCAAGGAGUUUCUAACACACCGGUAGCAACUAUGAGGGGAAAUUGACGUAUUUAUAAUGUCUUUGAAUACACAGUCUUUCUGGUGUUUACACCAAAGUCUUCUUUAUGCCCCUAAAAUGGUAUUUUCUUCAUAAAGGAUAUACACGUCUCUUACUAAAUUUAUUGCUAAGUAUUUUGUUGCUAGUUUGCUAUUAUAAACACCAUUUCUAUCAA